rnacentral:rRNA from 1 species
GACGAAGGUGGCGAGCGUUGUUCGGAAUCACUGGGCAUAAAGCGCACGUAGGCGGUGUCGUAAGUCGGGUGUGAAAUCCCUCGGCCUAACCGAGGAACUGCGCCCGAUACUGCGAUGCUUGAGGACCAGAGGGGUGCAUGGAAUUUCCGGUGGAGCGGUGAAAUGCGUUGAUAUCGGAAGGAACUCCGGCGGCGAAAGCGAUGCACUGGCUGGUUUCUGACGCUGAGGUGCGAAAGCCAGGGGAGGCAAACGGG